GACGAACGCUGGCGGCGUGCUUAGCACAUGCAAGUCGAACGGAAAGGCCCUGCUUUUGUGGGGUGCUCGAGUGGCGAACGGGUGAGUAACGCGUGAGUAACCUGCCCUUGACUUUGGGAUAACUUCAGGAAACUGGGGCUAAUACCGGAUAGGAGCUCCUGCUGCAUGGUGGGGGUUGGAAAGUUUCGGCGGUUGGGGAUGGACUCGCGGCUUAUCAGCUUGUUGGUGGGGUAGUGGCUUACCAAGGCUUUGACGGGUAGCCGGCCUGAGAGGGUGACCGGCCACAUUGGGACUGAGAUACGGCCCAGACUCCUACGGGAGGCAGCAGUGGGGAAUAUUGCACAAUGGGCGGAAGCCUGAUGCAGCAACGCCGCGUGCGGGAUGACGGCCUUCGGGUUGUAAACCGCUUUCGCCUGUGACGAAGCGUGAGUGACCGUAAUGGGUAAAGAAGCACCGGCUAACUACGUG
rnacentral:rRNA from 1 species